UACGUAGGGUGCGAGCGUUGUCCGGAAUUAUUGGGCGUAAAGAGCUUGUAGGCGGUUUGUCGCGUCUGCUGUGAAAUCUCAAGGCUCAACCUUGAGCUUGCAGUGGGUACGGGCAGACUAGAGUGUGGUAGGGGAGACUGGAAUUCCUGGUGUAGCGGUGAAAUGCGCAGAUAUCAGGAGGAACACCAACGGCGAAAGCACUCUGCUGGGCCGACACUGACACUGAGAGACGAAAGCUAGGGGAGCGAAUGGG
rnacentral:rRNA from 1 species